rnacentral:lncRNA from 1 species
CAGGCACUGGCCCAGGCCAUCAGGGAAGCCAGGGAGCAGCACCCUGACAUGUCAGUCACGCGGGUGGUGGUGCACAAAGAAACCGAGUUGGAGGAGGGGGAUGAGUAAGAUAUCCUCUUUUUAGACCACAACAUUCAACUUUGUGAACCAGAAGAAUUUUGACCAUUCCAAGUCUUAAUGCCACCACUGCUCCAGCAAAUUUAUACGACUGUUAACAAUGGCCAGAAGCCUGAAGAAUUAAAAUGCCAACACCAAACCUUACCUUAACAGCUCUGGUCUAUACCAUUCCCACGCAUUUUAAUAUGUUGUUUUGUUUUAUAACCACUCCUAAAUAUUCUUGAUUCUUUCUUUUUUUUUUCUGAUAGUUUUGUUUUUGUUUUCUCUUUACUUUGUGUACAACUACCUGCUUUUUACAACUCAUUUUGAUCAAAUGAUAGUGAACAAAGCCAGCCCAAGCUGGUAAGGUGCUGUUCGCUUGAACAGGUGCUGUUGUGCGGAAAGGAAACUCUGUGACUAAUUUAGAUAGUAGCUUUCCUUCUUUCCAAAUUCUUCCCACGGAGUUCUUACAAGUAAAUAUUUACAGAGUUUUCAGAUUGCCGUAAAUAUACUGUAUGAGAAAAUAUUAAUGCAGAUUUAAAAGCAUUUCUUACAUCAAGAAAAUUUUCUAGUGUUGGAGAAUUUCGUUGGGGAUAUUUUUGAUACUGAACCCUUUUGACUUUCCAGUCCUGUGACUUUUUACUUUUAGCGGAAAGUCCGGGAGUCUCCAGACUGGAGAAUUACGCAGAAGUUCACUGACCACGCACUGUGCUAGAGACCCUGUCGCACCACAGUGCCGAUGCUUCUCAGACACAGGCUCUUCAGCAGCACUCCAGCCACCGGAGGGGGAGAAAAACAUCUCUUCCCUCUCGCUAAAACAUUCAGGCAGCUUAAAACCUUAGUGCUUUCUUUCUUAACAUGUCCAAAUUUCAAUACUUUCCAUUAUUUGAACCCUCGUGUAUCACUUUCAGGUAGUGUGAUGAUUCAUGCAGGGGUGAGGAGGCCAGGAGAGGAGGAAGGCUAUGGCGGUGUUUGUGACGGUUGUAAGAAAACUGUGCCGUUUAAAGCUGACACCAGAUAACCUGCUAGGGACUUAUUAACUGUAUUGAACAUUCUUUCCCUUGCUUUGCCCCUGUGUAUAAUUAGAAUGCCAAGAUUAGCUACCUAGCAGCUUCAAGUUGUAUUAAAUGAUAUUUUGCUUUCUGUAAUACUGUUAUAAAAUAAAGUUUGUUUAUUCU